rnacentral:pre_miRNA from 1 species
GACUUAAACUCGAAGUAGAGUAGUUUGGUAGGGUCAGAUGAUCCUUCUAAUCUACUUUUCUUCAAAUUUUGGCCC